CCUACGGGUGGCAGCAGUGAGGAAUAUUGGUCAAUGGGCGCGAGCCUGAACCAGCCAAGUAGCGUGAAGGAUGACUGCCCUACGGGUUGUAAACUUCUUUUAUAAAGGAAUAAAGUGAGGCACGUGUGCCUUUUUGUAUGUAUUUUAUGAAUAAGGAUCGGCUAACUCCGUGCCAGCAGCCGCGGUAAUACGGAGGAUCCGAGCGUUAUCCGGAUUUAUUGGGGUUAACGGGAGCGUAGAUGGGUUGUGAAGGCAGUUGUGAAAGUUUGCGGCUCAGCCGUAAAAUUGCAAUUGAUCCUGGCAGCCUUGAGUACAGUUGCGGUAGGCGGCAUUCGUGGUGUAGCGG
rnacentral:rRNA from 1 species